rnacentral:sRNA from 1 species
GCUGGGCCUGGUGGCCCACGCCUGUAAUCCUAGUGGCUCAGGAGGCUGAGGCAGGAGGAUCAAAACUUCAAAGGCAGCCUCAGUAAUUUAGCAACGCUCUAAACAACUUAGGGAGACUCUGUCUCUA